rnacentral:rRNA from 1 species
CUUCCACAAUGGGGGCAACCCUGAUGGAGCAACGCCGCGUGCAGGAUGAAGGCCCUCGGGUCGUAAACUGCUUUUAUUAGCGAAGAAUAUGACGGUAACUAAUGAAUAAGGGUCGGCUAACUACGUGCCAGCAGCCGCGGUCAUACGUAGGACCCAAGCGUUAUCCGGAGUGACUGGGCGUAAAGAGUUGCGUAGGCGGUUCGUAAAGCGAAUAGUGAAAUCUGAUGGCUCAACCAUCAACACAUUAUUCGAACUCACGAACUCGAGAAUGGUAGAGGUAGCUGGAAUUUCCUGUGUAGGAGUGAAAUCCGUAGAUAUAGGAAGGAACACCAAUGGCGUAGGCAGGCUACUGGACCAUUUCUGACGCUGAGGCACGAAAGCGUGGGGAGCGAACCGGAUUAGAUACCCGGGUAGUCCACGCCGUAAACGAUGGAUGCUAGCUGUGGGGGGUAUCGACCCCUUCCGUAGCGAAGCUAACGCGUUAAGCAUCCCGCCUGUGGAGUACGGCCGCAAGGCUAAAACAUAAAGGAAUUGACGGGGACCCGCACAAGCGGUGGAGCAUGUUCUUUAAUUCGAUGGUAAACGAUAAACCUUACCAGGGUUUGACAUCCCGAGAAGUUCUGUGAAAGCAGAGUGUGCCUUUUGGAACUCGGUGACAGGUGCUGCAUGGCCGUCGUCAGCUCGUGUCGUGAGAUGUUUGGUUAAGUCCAUCAACGAGCGCAACCCCUAUGAAUAGUUGAAUUUUUCUAUUCAGACUGCCCCGGUAACGGGGAGGAAGGGGGGGAUGAUGUCAGGUCAGUAUUGCCCUUAUACCCUGGGCUAGAAACGUGCUACAAUGGCCGGUACAACGGGCAGCCAAGGCGUGAGCC